GUUUACAGCCAGACCAUCCUGAACAUGCCUAAUCUCCUCUAUCUAAGAAGCUAAGCAGGGUUGGGCAUGGUUAAUACUUGGUUGGAAGGAAGUGAAUUAAAUGCUAAAGGAAUAGGCAGUUAAAA
ensembl:rRNA 5S_rRNA 5S ribosomal RNA